rnacentral:rRNA from 1 species
ACUCAAAGGAAUUGACGGGGACCCGCACAAGCGGUGGAGCAUGUGGUUCAAUUCGAUGCAACGCGAAGAACCUUACCUGGUCUUGACAUCCCAGGAACCCUGCAGAGAUGCGGGGGUGCCUUCGGGAACCUGGAGACAGGUGCUGCAUGGCUGUCGUCAGCUCGUGUCGUGAGAUGUUGGGUUAAGUCCCGCAACGAGCGCAACCCUUGUCCGUAGUUGCCAGCAUUCAGUUGGGCACUCUACGGAGACCGCCGGUGACAAAUCGGAGGAAGGUGGGGACGACGUCAAGUCAUCAUGGCCCUUAUGACCAGGGCUACACACGUGCUACAAUGGCCGGUACAGAGGGUCGCCAACCCGCGAGGGGGAGCUAAUCCCAGAAAGCCGGUCGUAGUCCAGAUCGGAGUCUGCAACUCGACUCCGUGAAGCCGGAAUCGCUAGUAAUCGCGAAUCAGCACUGUCGCGGUGAAUACGUUCCCGGGUCUUGUACACACCGCCCGU